rnacentral:rRNA from 1 species
UACAGAGGGGGCAAGCGUUGUUCGGAAUUACUGGGCGUAAAGGGCGCGUAGGCGGCCCGCUAAGUCGAACGUGAAAUCCCCGGGCUCAACCCGGGAACUGCGUCCGAUACUGGUGGGCUUGAGUCCGGGAGAGGGAUGCGGAAUUCCAGGUGUAGCGGUGAAAUGCGUAGAUAUCUGGAGGAACACCGGUGGCGAAAGCGGCUUCCUGGCCCGACAUUGACGCUCAUGUACGAAAGCGUGGGGAGCAAACAGG